UUAAAGCUAGACUCAGUUAGUACAAUAUAAAAUAUAGCAUUUUCAAUUUUGGUUUAUAUCCCAAAAAUAAGAGAUUUGAAGUCUUCAUUUUUCUUGUUCAGUGCCACAGCACUGGAAAUACCAGAGGUUUUUUUUCCAUUUCCCCCUUCAGGUUUGUUUACAUUUUGCAGCUGAUUUCUUUGCCAGGUGACAUGAUGAUGUAGGGCUCGUGUAGCCAAAACGUCAUCUUGCUCAUGUGCUGAGUGAUGUUUACUACUCAACUGUCACUGCCAUAGUGCUAGUUAGUCUUGCAGUCAAUCCAGUAAAAUUUUAUAACCAAAGAUACUGCAUAAAAAUCCAACGAGCUGACGUUAUCAGAAAUGUCAGAUCACGUCGAGAUAAAAGGUGAUCCUGAUUCUUGAAAUGAGUGCUUUUAGGAGAAUCAGCUGCCUGAACAUGGCACACAUAGAGCCAAGGGCAGAGGUCCAAGGGUCCGCGGAGGACUGCUGAGGCCCAGUGUAAAGACGGGCCCGUGUAGAGGGCAGGGCAAGAGGAUCAAACAGGGCCAAGAGAGGGAACAGGGGGAGAGGCAGAAUCUGGGAAAUAUCCAUGGCUGACAGGGAGAGAGUUGAUCAUCAUCCUCAAGAUAGACUUGCACAGGUGAAGGUGUAUCUUGAACAGCUGUUCGAGAGAAAGAGGCGUGGUGUCUUGAUGAUGCUGGAGAGGACACCAGAAGCAGUUUGAUGUGGUUCAUCUCAUCCAGGGAGGUGGUGGAGGUGCAGAAGGAGGCCCUUUUUGGUGCACCUGUGGCAGGUGUUAAGAAAUGCCAACUGACAUGGAAAAGUGAUGUGGUGGGGGGCCAAAUACCUGCAUCAGUACAACGCUGCACAUACACUUACUGCCUGGAGGCUGGAAACAUCAGGGUUGAUAGUAAUGAUCUGUUAGCCCUGGAUGAGAGCACAAAACAGGGAGAAGACCAUGCAGUGUAUAGGCAUACUGCCUACCAGCAGUUAAUCUGUUGGCAGCAUGGCACGCUUUCGGCAGGGCCACAGAAUUGUUAUUCCAAGCUGCUACGCAUCAGAAACACUUUCCCUGACCCUAAUGGCCAGUAUAAAGGAUUCACUCCUUGCAGACUGACCUAAAGAAUUGUCCAUGUAUUUUGAACGGUUUUGUUUGGUUAUUUUUGUAUAUGUGUUAGCUAAAGCACUGUUUAAUAAAAACAACUUGUUAGACAAAGGUUGAAUAUAGUGUAAGUGCACUUUGAAACAAUCAUAGAACAAAUAAGACUAACUACAGUUAUUUCGACAUAAGACAACAUUAAUAAGUGACAAAGUAUUCAUAAGGUAUAUUUAUAGGUGGAUUGAGUAGAGGGGCCAUCAUAAAAUAUUAUCAAUAACAUGAGGAAAAUUUGGUAUAUUUACUUGAGUAGAUGAGACUGUACAAUAACAUAAUGGUUAUUUGUAAUUGUUAUUUA